UACGGAGGGUGCGAGCGUUGUCCGGAAUCACUGGGCGUAAAGGGCGCGUAGGCGGCAUGCCAAGCGUGUGGUGAAAGCCCGGGGCUCAACCCCGGGUCGGCCGUGCGGACUGGCAUGCUCGAGCACUGUAGGGGCGGGUGGAAUUCCGGGUGUAGCGGUGGAAUGCGUAGAGAUCCGGAAGAACACCGGUGGCGAAGGCGGCCCGCUGGGCAGGAAGGAAGCGUAAGCUUCCGGCUGACGCUGAGGCGCGACAGCGUGGGGAGCAACAGG
rnacentral:rRNA from 1 species